rnacentral:rRNA from 1 species
GGGUGCGAUCAUACCAGCAAUAAUGCACCGGAUCCCAUCAGAACUCCGAAGUUAAGCUUGCUUGGGAGAGCAGUACUAGGAUGGGUGACCUCCUGGGAAGUCCUCGUGUUGCACCCCUC